GAUCCUGGCUCAGGAUGAACGCUAGCGGCAGGCUUAACACAUGCAAGUCGAGGGGCAGCAUAACGGAUAGCAAUAUCUAUGGUGGCGACCGGCGCACGGGUGCGUAACGCGUAUGCAACCUACCUUUAACAGGGGGAUAACACUGAGAAAAUUGGUACUAAAUACCCCAUAAUAUCAUAGAAGGCAUCUUUUUAAUGGUUUGAAAAAUUCCGAUGGUUAGAGAUGGGCAUGCGUUGUAUUAG
rnacentral:rRNA from 1 species